rnacentral:rRNA from 1 species
AUUGGACGCUGGCGGCAGGCCUAACACAUGCAAGUCGAGCGGAUGAAGGGAGCUUGCUCCUGGAUUCAGCGGCGGACGGGUGAGUAAUGCCUAGGAAUCUGCCUGGUAGUGGGGGAUAACGUCCGGAAACGGGCGCUAAUACCGCAUACGUCCUGAGGGAGAAAGUGGGGGAUCUUCGGACCUCACGCUAUCAGAUGAGCCUAGGUCGGAUUAGCUAGUUGGUGGGGUAAAGGCCUACCAAGGCGACGAUCCGUAACUGGUCUGAGAGGAUGAUCAGUCACACUGGAACUGAGACACGGUCCAGACUCCUACGGGAGGCAGCAGUGGGGAAUAUUGGACAAUGGGCGAAAGCCUGAUCCAGCCAUGCCGCGUGUGUGAAGAAGGUCUUCGGAUUGUAAAGCACUUUAAGUUGGGAGGAAGGGCAGUAAGUUAAUACCUUGCUGUUUUGACGUUACUAACAGAAUAAGCACCGGCUAACUUCGUG